rnacentral:rRNA from 1 species
UACGAAGGGUGCAAGCGUUACUCGGAAUUACUGGGCGUAAAGGGCGCGUAGGCGGUGUGUCAAGUCAGGCGUGAAAGCCCCGGGCUCAACCUGGGAACCGCGCUUGAGACUGGCACGCUCGAGUUCGGGAGAGGAUGGUGGAAUUCCCAGUGUAGAGGUGAAAUUCGUAGAUAUUGGGAAGAACACCGAUGGCGAAGGCAGCCAUCUGAACCGACACUGACGCUGAGGCGCGAAAGCGUGGGGAGCAAACAGG